CUCAACUAGAGGAACAGCCUGAUGAAGUCUCCUAGUCCCGCACUGCUUGCUGCUGCGAGCGCUGUCCUUGCGCAAUAUAGGGUCCGCUGGAAUUGAAGCCGCAGCCGCUGCAACUGACGCCUGCGCGCAGAUUGGCUACCUGUUAUGUCCUGACAACGAGCGCCGACGACUACUGCAACUCUCCUAGCCAAUCCUGCGCGCAGAUCUGCUCGCUGGUUUAUCCUUACAGCGACUCGGCGACAAGGCACCCUGUAGGGAAGAGACUAAGAAAAGGAUUAGAAACUGCAUAACACACGCGACACUUCAAAAAUUUAUUCCUGGUCAACUAGCACCCUGCAGGCGCUUAGGACUCGAUUGAUGAGCUGCUGCCUUUCUCCAAAUUACGCCUUGCCUAGACCCGCUGAUCGCCGUAUGAACACAAAACUGCCUGAUGACAGACACCACAGCGAAAUGACGACGAGAUUUCCUGUAAGGAAGAGAAGAGAGCCAUUAGUUAUUUCCUCUACACGUGCGGCACCUUAUAAAAUGUAUUACCAGCCCAGUAUCCAGCAACAGCCAGCAAGAAGGUAAAAAUUUGCAAGCGGAACACGUUUUUACACCAAGCUAAGCGAAGAGAGACCGUACAACUGACGCCGUUAAAACGCAUGAAUGAAUGAGACCGCACCACUACAAGACUGAUUAAUACUAGGACAACACUAAUUAAAAAUACCAACCGAUAUACACACGCUUAAAAUUAUCGCCACUAUCGAUUGUCCGAUAAAACCAAAGUAAGACCAGACAAGCCGGACUCGAUACACUCUUAAAUGACGAGACCGAUAAAUACUAGGUCAACACUAAAUACCAGACCGAUAAAUUCACAACCUAAACUAGACCCGUCUAGUAUUGGAAAAUGACAGACCCGCUCUAGUGUGGUAAAUAGGUCAGACCAGCUUUUACU
rnacentral:sRNA from 1 species